rnacentral:sRNA from 1 species
GAGCAUUUCCUUGUCUCUAUUCUUCUCAUUCUUCCCCUUGGUUAGAACCCAAUGACUAGUUUUUGUGUAGACCCUUGUAUAGCUCUCCUUUGAGUUAUAAUGUAUCUUUCGAAAUACAUAUAAGGUAUCGUUCUAAACCCAAACGUUACGGAAAAUUCCGUAAUGUCGCCAAACGAGAAUCCAAGUAAGAUUCCUCUUCAUGUCUUUGAUGUAUUUGUCCUUUUAGAAAUUGAUCAAGGUAUAUAAGUACCUUCGGACUCUUAGGUUUAUCGAGUUGGGUGACAUUUCUCGGUUCAUGCAGAGACAUGACGCGUUAAAGGCUCUAAACCUUUUUCGGAGAAAAGAAGGAAGAUGAGACAAUCAGGAUAAGUAGCCCACUUCUCCAAGAAUGGAUUGUAAGUGAUCCAAACUUAUAUAUUUCUCACAAGUUUUAGGUGAUAACGUAUUCUCUAUGAUUAAAAAUGUUUGGUACGUAUAAGCUUGAAGAGGAAGGCUUCCUAAUCGAGUUAUGAUUAAAGAAGAUAAGUUCAAGAGAAGAUAAGCUCAAAUAAUAUUAGGUACAUGCGUUAAAGCAAGAGAAACACCUCUUAAUAUGGCAAUGAAAAACAUGGGAUGAAUCCGAGGCGGAGACUGCAUGCCGCAAAAACAAUAUUCCAAAAUGUUGCGGAUCUGGCUCGUCGUGGUAACGGUCAACCUCGUCGUGGGAAUCGUGUUGGCGCUACUAUUCCUUCCAAGCUCGUGCUUAUAUAUAUAAAUAAAAUAAACCUUCGCUAUGUUCACUUUUUAAAAGGGUUUGAACUAUCUAUACAUACUUUUCUAUAUAUACCAACUAUAAUCAUAAGUCCACGCAUUCAUAGCACAUUUUUAGUAUUGAAACGUGAAAU